UAUUAAGCACUGGUUAAUCAGCUUAGUGACUGAUUAACUAUUUGGUUCCAAUUCAAAACUUUAUUUAAAUCAAAAUAAAUCUUUAUUAUCUUAUUACCACUCCUAAAUACCAUUCUUUUAUUAUAUUUCUUUUUAUUUUCUUGUAGGUUAACAAAAACUUGAGAGAUGGUUUGGUUAAUAAUAUAAGUGGUGGUGUGGCGGCUUGAUUUUUUAUCAAUAAAAGUAAAAAGUCGUAUUCUCUGCCCCACGUACGUUUCAGAAUAAUCAUCCCUGCAUUGCCCCGCAGUGCUUGAAAAAAUUCUUCCGUUUCCACAAAACCCAUUUCUUGAAUUGAAGCUGUGAAAGCUGAUCUUGCAUGGAAUAGCUAUAGCUAGAGCUCUAGAGAAAGUACAAAAAGAGGGGAACGAUAUGUAGAAAUUGGAAGAUGAUAGUUGUGUUAAUAAAAUGAUUGCUACGGAGCCAAACAAGCGAAAUUAAUGUCCAACAUCUGUUUCUUCUGUUAUAAAAAUGGCGGUGCUCCAUUGUCCGCAUUUGCUGCCGUCAAAAGUAGUGCAAUCAAUCAUCAUAAAACACAAAAAAGAAAAGAAAAGAAGGAAACAGUAAGGGCAGUACAGCACACCAGGAAAUUUACAAAUGCACGGGUACUUUUAUUUUUCUUAUACAAGGGCUGCCAUUAUAUUGAAUAACCUUAACAUAGGCGAAUGAAUAAGCUUAGUGAUUUGUUGAAAUCACCCCUGGAAAGCUGCUAAAUCGACCUUCUGGCAGCAGCAUAAUAGAUAACAGGAUGAUAUCAUUCAAGGUUUUGCUUAUAUAAACAGAAGAGUGUGCAAAAAAAUGAGCUACAUUCAUUCAGAGAGUACAUAAACAGCAAUCUGCCUGGACACUCGGAAACAAAAGAAAAGUAUAGAGAAUCAUGUGGAUAAACAAUCAAGGGUUAAAAUCUUUACAGCCUCAAUUUAACAUGGUCAGAGAGAUUAGUAUUGAGAAACUUGAGUUUAUGUCUCAAAUUUGCUCAGUCUUGCUCAUAAGUUGCAUAAGAGCAUUUGCCUUUCUCUGCGCUCUAUUGGUUCCACUGUUGGCGAUCUCAACUAAAUGCUCAUAUACACCAAACUGAAGUGCUGCAAGUAUGAAAGACGAGUUAUUCGACCCCAGCUCAAGGAGUACUGAUGUUGCACAUUCCUUGUUCUUUGGGGUGCCAUCUUUGAUGAAUUCUACAAGUGUUUCGAUGAACGAUAGCUGCCCAAUCGCACUCCGCCCAUCUGGAUGUGAUGAAAGAAGUAGAAAGAUGGAGAGUGCCUCAUCAACCAUACCCAAGUUUAUGUCCUCGAGCAACUGGAGUAGAGGUGUAAUAAUGCCAGCAUCUAUAGCUCUAGCCUUAUUCAAAUGGUUGAGCGACAAGUUAAACAAUGCAGUAGCAGCAUCUUUUUUGCCUCUUACUGUGCCAUUCUCUAACAAGUUCACUAAUGGCGGGAUGCCAUCCGAUAGGCCAAUGGUUACCUUGUUCUCGUCAAGCAUUGAUAAGCUGAAUAAUGCUGCUGCAGAGUUCUCUCUGCCCUCGACACUUCCACUACGCAAAACUUCUAUGAUAGCCGGAACGGCUCCUUCUCUAGCUAUGAGUCUCUUAUUAGUCUCAUCAAUUGAUAAAUUCAACAAAGCUGUUACUGCAUGUUCUUGUAUUUUAGAGUCUGGAUAGGACAGAAUCUGAACUAAUGGUGGGAUACCUCCAUGGUUGGCAAUUGCAAUUCUGUUCUCAGGAUUCUCUUUAGAGAGCAUUCUGAUCUUCUUCACAGAUUUUCUCUGCACUUCCAACUGACUAGAUGAUAGGUCAUGAACCAAAGAGAGGAUUUCCUCACUGAGAUCAGAGAAGCUUUCAGAGGAUGCAGAACUAUUUUUUGUAGAGAGGUGAAAAUUGUUCUCUUCACACCACUGCAAGAUUAGGUUUUUAAGGGCAUAAUUUGGGGCAACCGACAGGUGAGCCAAAGUUUGUCUUGUCUUUGGACAGGUCCGGUGAUUGGAAAUAAACCACUUCUGUAUGCUUUCUCUUUCAUAUGUCUAAAAUACAUGAACAAGGGAAAAAAAAGUCAUAUAAUGUUACUUC